UUUUUUAUUUUUUUAAUUUUUAUUUAUUUAUGAUAGUCACACACACACACACACACACAGAGGCAGAGACACAGGCAGAGGGAGAAGCAGGCCCCAUGCACCGGGAGCCUGAUGUGGGAUUCAAUCCCGGGUCUCCAGGAUCGAGCCCUGGGCUAAAGGCAGGUGCUAAACCGCUGCGCCACCCAGGGAUCCCGCACAUGACAAUUUUAGAAGAAACUAACAAUCACAACUGUGAAAUAUCAUUGCUAUUUGUAACUGUGAUGGAGAUGAUUUGUUACAAUUAUUAAGUCCCUCAGAACCCUUGCUGUUUCCCUGCCCCAUUAAUCUUGAGUGACCAUGGGAUUUGCUUUGAAUAAGGAUAUGUAGAUGAAACUGACAGAACACUAACUCUUAGAAAAAGGUUUGGAGAAUGUUUAUUUCUAUUUGCCCUCCUAAUGUCCUUUGGCAUGACAGAACAUGUUUCCAAAUGGGGCUGUCCCUCAAAAUGGGUCCCAGAUGAAAAAGAAACAUGGAGCAGUUCCAUAUUAUCACAGAACCCAGAACUUCAGCUCUCAACCCAAGCUGACAUGAUGAGAAGAACAACUAAAAACUUUGGUUAUUGCAACAUUCAGUUUGCUAUUUUGUGGCACAACCUAGUAAAAGUUGAUAAUAGUAUUUUCUUUCUACUUCUGUUUAGAAAUUUGUGUCAGUUUUGACACUUUACCCUACAGCCUACAAAAGCUCUUUAUAAGAGUUUUGGUAAUCACAAUUAUGAAAAAAAUUAAUUUAAUAAAAUAUCAAUUAAAAACUUAAAUGCAGACAGAAACUUGUACACUGAAAACUAUAAAACAUUGCUGAAAAUUAAAGAAGACAUUCAUAAAUGGAAAGACACCCUAUGUUCAUGGAUUGGAAGACUUAAUAUUGUUAUGUUGACCGUGAUACCCAAAGCAAUCUAUAAUUUCAAUGCAAUCCUCAUCAAAAUUUCAAUGGUGGCAAGUUUUGUUUGCUUGUUUAUUUCAGAAAGAGGGGAAACCCAAGCUAAAAUUCAUACGGAAUCUCAAAGGAUUCUUGAUUGCUACAACAAAUGGAAAAAGCUAGAGGACAACUACACCCUAAUUUCAAAAUUCAGCAGAACUACAGUGAUAAAAGCAGUGUGGUACCAGGAUAAACACACACAUGCACUGAUGGAACACAAUGGAGAGCCCAGAAACAAAUCCUCACAUUUUUGGUUAAAUGAUUUUGACUAGGUUGCUAAGACCAUUCAGUGGUGAAAAGACCAUAUUUUCAAAAAUGUUUCUGGAAAACUAGAUAUCCAAAUCCAAAAGAAUGAGGUUGGACUCUUAACUUACACCAUAUGUAAAAUCAACUGAAAGUGGAUCAAACACCUAAGUAUAAGAGCCACAACCAUGUAACAUUUAGAGGAAAUAAUAAGAAACAUGUACAUGGAUUCAGCAGUGAUUUCUUAGAUAUGACACCAAGCACAGGCAAUAAAAGAAAAAAUAGGUUAAUUGAACUUCAUCAAAAUUAAAAACUUCUUUGCACCAAAAGAUAUCAUUAAGAGAAUGAAAAGACAACCCACGUAAUGGGGAAAAACACUUGAAAAUCAUAUAUCUGAUAAGAGAUUUUUAUCUAAAAUGUACAACGUACCUACAAUUCAACAACAAAACAAACAAUUUAAUUCAAGAAUAGGCAAAGGAAGACUUGAAUAGACACUGCUCCAAAGAAGAUAUAUACAAAUGGCCGAUAAGCAUGUGAAAAGAUUCUCAAUGUCAUUAGUCACUACAGCAAUGCAAAUCAAAGCCAAAAUGAGAUACUGCUGUACAUCUAUUAAAAUAGAGUUUAUCAAAACAUGGAAAAUAACAAGCAUAGACAAGUAAGUUCAAACUUCCGUGCAUUGCUGGUGGGAAUAUAAAAUAGUACAGCCACUGUGGAAAAGAGUUUGGCAACUCCACUCUUAGAUAUAUACCUGGAAGAAUCCCAAACAACCCAGACACCUGUACACUAAUGCUCACAACAGCAUUAUUUACAAUAUCCAAAAGAUGGAAACAAUACAAAUGCCCAUCAAUGGAUGAUUAGACAAGCCAAAAAUGUAAUGCAGAUAAAUAUAAAAUAGCAUAUUAUUCAGCCUUGAAAAGAGUGAAAUUUUGAUACAUGCUACAACAUGGAUGAAACUUGAAGACAUAGCCAAGUGAAAUAAAAGGACAAAUACUAUAUGAGGCACUUAUUUGAGGUACCUAGAAUAGGCAAUUCAUAGACACAGAAAGUAGACUAGAGAUUACCGAGGCCUGGGGGAAGAAGAGAACGGGAGUUAUUGUUCAAUAAUCCAAUUGUUCAUAACUACAUAUAGUCACAGUUAUAUGUAGUCAUAUUAUUAGAACUAUAUUGUUAAUAACUACAACUAUAUUGUUAACAGGUACAAAUUUCUUGCAUGAUGCAAAAGUUCUGAAGAUAGUCAUGGUGGCUACACAACACUGAAUGAACUUAAUGAAACUGAAUUGUACAGUUAAAAUGGUUAAAGUGGUAAAGUUUAUAUUAUAUAUAUUUUAUCACAAUAAAAAAGAGAUUGGUAGAUCUCUGACAUGGCAAACUGGAAGUCAGAUUAUUUAUUGAGUGUAGUGUGUCUCAGAUGCUGUGUUAGGCAUUUAACCCAUCUUACUUUAUUUGAUGAUUACAAAAACUCUAGGUGAGGGUAUUCUCUCUGUCUUAAUAGAUGAGGAAUAUGAAAAUAAGGGAUGUUGAAUAAUUUGAACACAGCUAUACUAUGUGACAGAAUCCAGGGUCUGAUCUAUGAUGGCCUGAACACUAAAGCCCAUAUUCUAGCUUCGCAUGCUGCCUUCCACAUAAUCAUUUCCAUCCCCACCUUUGUUUCCAGAAUACUGAAUGUUUUAAAGGGUGUAGUUACUUUUGUUGAGUCUUCUAUUUUUUGAGCACUUACUUGUGCAAAUCUGUAAGUUAAUUUGUGUUCUGUUUUCACAUAUAAAAAGUAAGACUUACUACUUGUUAAUCUCUCUAAUGAUAAUAGAGAUAGGUUGAUACUAUAUGGUAUUAUUACUGCUGGCUUUAAAGUGAGACUGUUGGGGUCGCCAGGGUGGCUCAGUGGGUGAGUGUCUGCUUUAGGCUCAGGGCGUGAUCCUGGAGUCUUGGGAUCGAGACCCACAUCAGGCUCCCUGCAUGGAGCCUGCUUAUCCCUCCGCCUGUGUCUCUGCCUCUCUCUGUCUCUCAUGAAUAAAUAAACAGAAUCUUGUAAAAAAAAAUGAGAUUGUUGGUUCAAUCUUGGCUCCACUGAUUGACUUGCUAUGUGAUAAUGGACAGGUCACUUAACCUAUCUGUAUUUCAGUCCUUUCACCUUCAAAAUAAAGAUUAUAACAUUACCUUACUAUAUGACUCAUAUGAGGAUAAAGUGAGAUUAAUUAUUUUUUUUAAAGAUUUUAUUUAUUUAUUCAUGAGAUACACAGAGAGAAGCAGGCUUCUUGCAUGGAUCCCAAUGGUCAACUGGUUUUUGCUUAAUUUUGCCUGACUUUGCUUCUGUAAUAGUGGAAGAAAUACAUUCAAGCAUUGUACACAUAAUUCUAAGGGUUAUGAGACAGCCAGAUAUAAUCUAAUUGUAGAAUUAUACAAAUAAUCAAUGUUAACAAGUAAAUUAGAAGACUGAAUUAUUUAAGUUAAAUACAGUCACAUAUAAUCUAAUACCUGCUAAAAAUAAUAAAUCUAUAUUCCAUAAUUUGGAUUUUUGAAUUUAAUUUUGAAAUGUUUGCCUUCAGAUUCACAGAGCUCUUCCAGGUAACUGGUGUUUCAAGCUAACCUUGGGUUGAGAUUAUGAGGAGAUUAAAUAUGACAGUUCUUAAAGAUCAUUAAUAGAAUGAAGGCAUCCUACCAAGUAUAAUCAGAAGAAAUAUACAAGCAGUUAAAAGGGGACACAUUUGAAGUAGAAGUUAUUUCAUUUCAUUUUUGUGUUUAGAGUCAUUUCAGUCUUCCAAAAUUUUUAAAAGGAAAGACUUGUAGAGUCUUAGUGUUGAACACAUGUAAAGUGAAUCAUAGUUGAAAAGUGACAAUGGAUAGGUAGAAGGUGAGAUAAUAUCUUGUCCUUUCUUAUACAUAUUUUCUAAAUGUUUUUUAUUGUAAGAUAACAAUAAAUAUUAUUAACUUACAUUUAUUGUAAUGCCUGUCCAUUCAGAAAUUAAUUUCACAUAAUCUCAUGUGAUUUAUACAAGUGAGUCAAAACAGUGUAAGUUUAUUUUUCUAUUGUUUUGCAUGCAGUGUAGAGAUCACCUUGAAUUUUAAUAGCCCACUGAGGACUAACCAUCUUUACUCUGAUUUUCAGUGCUGUGUUAGUUGUUUGUCUUGGCAAUAAGUCUCUGUGUGUGCAUGUGUGUGCAUGUGUGUAUUUUUGACCUUGUAUAUAAUUGUGCAGACAUUUAAUUGUGCAGAUUUAAUUUUAUUUAUAAAUCUUCUCUAAGGAUCAAAAAAAAAAAAGAUCUUCUCUAAGGUAAUAAGUCAUCAUUCAGCUAUCUACAUGAUUCCCAGUAUUUGCUGAGUAUGAAGGGAUGUUGGAGGAUGGAAAUGAGAAAAAGAAAUAAGUCUGGAAAGCAAUAACGUGUUAGUAAUAAGAGAGAGGGAUUUGGAGUUACAAAACUGAGUUCAGAUACCACUUCCAUCCUUGACCCAUUAGAUAUCCUUGGGGAAGUUACUUAAACUGAGUGAGUUUCCCAUAUUUAAAGAGGAAUAUUAAAAUUUACAUAACUGGAUCACUCGAUUACAUCAAAUUAUAUUAAACAAAAUUAAAUUAUAAGCUUGGCAAAAAAUAGAUAAUUGCUAGUUGUUAGUUUCCUUCUCCCGUACUUGGCAAUCUUGAAGUUUGGUGUUAUCUACACAUGUUUAUCACUGAUUUAAAAAAAGAUUAUUUCAUUUUUCCAAAUGUUGGGGUAAGAUAGUCUUUAAAAAUAGAAGCUUAAUUUAAAACCAAAUAAAGAAACUAAUUAUUUCUUUUAUCAAAUCCUGCCAAAUGAGAAAGCUCAUUUCUUUUAAUAAAAAUCCCAUUAAUAUGAGGGACUUAAUUUAAUUCUAUUUUCUCCCUUCUGCACUCAUGAACAUUCAUUAAAUGUUAGUUUAUUUUUAUAUUAAAAAGCAGCAUUAGAUUUAUGUCUUAAUUACCUUGGAUUUAUUAUUAAAAGAAACAUACCCUAAGAAUAUUGAUAGAACUAUGAGAAAACUUCUUUUAGUGAAUUAUUUGAAAAACAAAGUCCUUGUCUUGUAUGCCAUAGGUAUCCAAUAUAUUUGUUGAUAACAUUGGGAAAGACUAUACAUGAAAGUUGGAGUUAUCAAUGUCUUGCUGACAAGUAUGUAAAAACAGGGGUUUGGAUUAAUAAAAUUAACUGAUUCAUCUUGAAAUUGCUGCCUGUAUUAUAGGUCACUGUCUAAAGAGAACCUGGGUCAUUAUAACAGUAGGAGAUUGAGGGACCUGGGAACUAAACCUGAUUAAAGGUAUCUAGUCACUGAACAAAAGUAUGUUUCCCAAUACUGCUAAAGUUAAUACACAAAUAAUGAAAGAUUAAAGACUACAAAGCUACAAUGCCUAGGUGACUCAGUGAUUGAGCAUCUGCCUUUGGCUCAGGUCAUGAUUCCGGGAUCCUGGGAUCGAUUCCUGUAUCAGGAUCCCCACAAGGAGCCUGCUUCUCCCUCUACUUAUGUCUGAGGCCUCUCUCUCUGUGUCUCUCAUGAAUAAAUAAAUAAAAAUCUUUUUAAAAAAUUAAAAACUACAAAGACUACAAAGCUUUUUAGCUACAAAUAAUAGAGUAACAUUUUCACAAGUGUAGGUAUCAAACCAUCCUACUUUUUCCCGAUUACAAUACCCUCCAGAUUACAAACGUCCUCCAGAUUUAGUAUGUGUCAGAGAGGAAGGCUCAAUAAUUCUACCCUUUGCAAUUCUGGGAUUAUUUUUGUUUCUCUGUGGCUGUGAGACCAGAUUCUUGUUACAUUGGGGGUGUCUCUUAAGCUUUUUCUGGAUUGAAAUUAUCCUAUUUUGUUUGAUUUCAUGUGAAACCAAUUUCAGGGAGAUUUCCUAGAGCAUAGGACUCAUUUAGUAAUGCUUUACUUAAUUAAAUAAUUAAUUAUUCAACAUAAAGUUAUUAAUUCAAUGCUUACUACCAACAAAGCAUAUUUCAUAGGCUAAGAAUGUGUUAUUGAAACCAAGCAAAAUUGUUGACCACAUGGAAUAUUUGGAGUAUUGAGCAAGGCACAUAGUAAACAAACAAAACAAACAUAUAUUUACUGGUAAAUGUAAAUGAAGAAAAUAAAUCAUGUUAAAAUGUAUAAGAAGUAGAACCUGUGCUAGUUAAGAUAAUGUGAUAAGGAAAGUCUUAUCUGAGAGGCUGACUUUUCAUUGAAUAUUUAAAUGAAAUGGAGGGGCUAGUUAAAAGAAUAUCAGAGGUUGGGGCAAUUCUAGGCAGAGUUAAUAGCAAUUUUAAAGACCUUGAGAUAGGUGUGUUUAAGGGAUGUCAUGGAGGCAUGUGUGUACCGUUAAGUUGAGCAAAGGAAAGAGUAGGAAGAAGGAUAGCCAGGAAGCAUAGGUCAUGAGGAUCUUGUGAACCUUGGCAAGAAUUUUUUAAUGUUAUUUUGUACUGUUUACAACCAGGGCAGGGUUUUGAGCAGUGAGCUGUUAUAAUCAGGUUUAUAUUUUAAAAGGUGAACUUAUGCUGCUCUGAGGUAAACUUAGGAUGCAACGGUGAAGCAGGGAGAUCAGUUAAGAAGUGAUUGCUAUAGUUCAGGAGAGAGUGUAUGGCUGUCUGGAUCAUAGUAAAGGAUAAAAAACACUAUAUUGUGUCAGGUACCCAGAAUUUCGUGAGUCAUUCCAUUUUGCAAAGAUUGUAUAUUACAUUAAUAAUCUAUAGAACAUAAAUAUAAGUGAAUAAUUUUUCACCAAUUUGUAAGAGAAAUAUAAAAUUAUCAAAAGAGGUUCAUAAAAGGUCAAAUGAGAAAUUAAUAUGGUGCCUUUGUGCCUCCUCCUAACCCCAUCAACAAGUUGAAAAUAGGAGCAAAAGUGUUGGUGAAGAGAAUUGCUACAAUGGGCCUUAGACUGUGCCUCCUCAUUACCAUGGUCUGCAGAGCAUUUGGGGAAUCUUCAGGUUUACUGAGGGCAUGGGGUGGUUGGAGGGUGACUGGUGACGGCAAAAGAGGAAGGAAUUGUGGGAGGUUCACAGCCCAUAUCUCAGAGGACCUGUUGUAUGAGAGAAAGCAUUAAGUAGAAACUCAGGAAGGGGAGGUGGUCAUCCACAUGUAUUGACAGAGUCAACAACAACAAAAAACCUGAGUUGUGCUGGUGUUGACAUUUGGUGACUAAGAAUAGAGAUGAUGCUGACAGGUAAGAUAAGACACUGGACAAAAAAAAGAAAAAAAAAAAAA
rnacentral:lncRNA from 1 species